rnacentral:sRNA from 2 species
UAUGACACAGACCAUAGACACACCACACGCCCGCGCACAUGGACACGAUCUGCUUGCUUUUCUGGCCACUUAUAUAUUUUAUACGCACUCGACGAGGUGCGAGAUGCUUUUGAUAUCAUUGGCUUUUUCGUUUUCAUUUUUUUCAUAUUUCCAAUUUUGAUUUCCAUCCCGGCUUCGAAUUUUGGUCUUCUUCUUCAUCAUUUAUUUUUUUUCUUUUUUGCCUUUGGUUUGGAUGGAUAUAAGGAAUCAGGAAAUGCGGGCAAGGAAGAAAAGAAGGUAGAUACAAAUACUACCUCGUGGAAUUCGGAGUUAACUAGCUCUUAUGUCUUUAUUUUAUUUUAUUUUCUAUUUUUCAUUUUUCAUUUUAUUUUAUUUUAUUUUAUAUUUUUUUCUAAAUUUUUUGAUUCAAUCCAUUUCUUCAUUUUGCUUUUUUCUGGCUGGAUUUUACAACAACUCCUUUUAUUUAUUGACCUGAUACCAACCGACUCGAUAUGAGUUCCCAUGUUCUCCGCAACUAUACUUCUUCUUUUUCGCCUUUCAGUCUUUCCGUUUAUAUAUAUAUAUAUAUUUGUUUUGGCUCGUUUGGCAGCCAUCCGUCCCUGCCUUUCUUCUUUGUUUUUUCCCUUACCAAUGUUUGUGCAAGCCAUAUGAUAUAACUACUGCAGACUCGUCCGGCUUCCCGGGUCCUUUUGUCAUGUAUUUCGUUUCUCUUCUUCUUCUAUUUUUUUUCACUCUCAGUUUUAAUCUAUCCUCUUCUUCUCUCAUUCCUCAUUCUUCGUUUCUCGCCUUUUUUCACUUCGCCCUCUAUACAUCCGUCCCAACCUAUUAAAAUUGCUUCAUCCGCAAUCGAGAACGGUACCAGACAUACCAUGCUAUCCAUGGAUCUACCUAUAUACCCUAUACCCCCAAUCAAGGCGCCCGCUCAUAUCUAUCGACUUUUUUUCUUCUUCUUUCCUUUUUUUAUUUAUUAUAUUCUUUUUGAACUUCUUACCUUUCCAUGACCAAGCUGCCAUGCCCGCGUGGUGCUUGUUCAUAUUCAAUUUACCCCUUUUUAAUGAAAGAAAAAGAAACCAAGAAAUGAUGAGAAUGAGUAAGAAAUAAUACAUAGUUUGUCACACGUGUAUAGCAUUCUCAAUACGUAGGUUGAUUUAGAUAUCGGCAAAUCCUAAUCCCGCCAAAAGAAAUGAGAGGGGAAGAUUUGGUGGACGAGCUGUGCUGGCGAGAGGCUCCUAUAUAUAUAUAUAUGUAUAUAAACCC